rnacentral:rRNA from 1 species
CUACGGGAGGCAGCAGUGGGGAAUCUUGGACAAUGGGCGCAAGCCUGAUCCAGCCAUGCCGCGUGAAUGAUGAAGGCCUUAGGGUUGUAAAGUUCUUUCGCCGGGAACGAUAAUGACGGUACCCGGAGAAGAAGCCCCGGCUAACUUCGUGCCAGCAGCCGCGGUAAUACGAAGGGGGCUAGCGUUGUUCGGAAUUACUGGGCGUAAAGCGCAUGUAGGCGGACCAUCAAGUUGGAGGUGAAAGCCCAAGGCUCAACCUUGGAAUUGCCUUCAAAACUGGUGGUCUGGAGCAUAUUAGAGGCAGGUGGAAUUCCGAGUGGAGAGGUGAAAUUCGUAGAUAUUCGGAGGAACACCGGUGGCGAAGGCGACCUGCUGGGAUAUUGCUGACGCUGAGAUGCGAAAGCGUGGGGAGCAAACAGGAUUAGAUACCCCGGUAGUCCC